AGGACGAACGCUGGCGGCGUGCUUAACACAUGCAAGUCGAGGGCAUUGAGCCCGCAAGGGCUUGGUGACCGGCGAACGGGUGCGUAACACGUGAGCGACCUACCCGCUUGAGGGGGGAUAGCCGGCCCAACGGCCGGGUAAUACCGCAUACGCUCUUCUGGGGGCAUCUCUGGGAGAGGAAAACUCAGGUGCAGGCGGAGGGGCUCGCGGCCUAUCAGCUAGUUGGCGGGGUAACGCCCACCAAGGCAUCGACGGGUAGC
rnacentral:rRNA from 1 species